rnacentral:misc_RNA from 1 species
CAACUUUUUACUACAAGAAGUAGCCAAAAUAGAGUAAUUUUCUCCAUUUAACCAAAUAAUCCUCUUCUUAGAGGAUGUUGUCUUUUAAUCAAGAUGUUCACUGAUAUGAUAAAGUUCAAACAAAAUAUCAUAUGUUUAAAUACAUGUAUAAUUAUUCCAAAGACUACAGAUUCAAAGGCGUGAUCGUGGCUCCUGGCUCCCGUCUACUUUUCUGAAGAAUGGGUAGUCUGUGUACCCAACAACAGGAUCUUGGGUGUAGAAUGUUUUCCUGACAUACUUAUUCAAGGGCGCAUUGAGCUUAAAUCUCAAGACUAAGUCUGGGUUUGAAAUAAAAAGUCGGCCAUAAGAUACCAAAUCUGCAUCAUCUUGAGCUAUAGCUUCCAUUCCUAGCUCCCUCGUGAACCCACCGCUACAGAUGAAAGUUCCCUUAUAAGCCCUUCUCCAAGUUCUCAUUAAUCUAGCUUCCUCUUCUUCAGUACCAUGUCUGCCUGAUUCUGUUUGGCCAUAAGCUGUGUAGCGAGGCUGAGUGACAUGGAGAUAAGUGAGUUUUGAUCCAAGGUUCAACUGAAGUUUGUUAAGUCUCUCGAUUACAGCAAGACCCAAGUUGAGCGGAUCAGAAUCUAUGGCAUCUAGGUGAUCAAUUGCCGGUGACAUUCUGAAACCAACUCGAUCAGCACCAAUAGCUGCAACUACUGCCUGAAUCACCUGCAUUAGGAAUCUGCAUCGAUUGUUGAUUGAUCCACCAUACUCAUCUGUUCGGUCAUUGAUCCCAUCUUUUAAGAAUUGAUCUACAAGGUAACCAUGAGCCCCAUGGAUCUCAAUUCCAUCAAAGCCUGCUCGAAUGGCAUUCAAGGCUGCCUGGCAAUAACUCUCCACUACCUCUAGUAUUUCAGGAGUUUCAAAGGCCUAGAUGUUGGGUAUUUCCCAUAGGACCCAUCUUGCAUGAGAAUUCUCCACCUGUUCUAGAUGGCCCUGCCCGUCAAUGAGAUGGGUACAGCUCCACUAGGUUGAUAAACUAAUUUGCUUAUGCAAAAAGGAAGUGAAUUUGAGCCUAGUAGUGCUGCUACGUUGUUACAUAUGGAUAGAAAAAGAACCUUGAUGAGAUGCGCGGCCAUUCCAACAUGCCACAGUUGACAGAAUAUGAUGCUCCCUUUGGCAUGAACUGCAUCCACCACCUUCUUCCAUGCCUCCACUUCUUGUUCUGUAUAAAUUCCAGGACAUGGGGAUACCUGGUUUUCACAAUUAAAAGUAGUUAUCUUUUUUUCUCAAAAGUAACUGCGCUGCUAAAAAGCGAAAAAAUGAUUUGGUAGCUAGUGAGACAGGCCCUUUUCAUAUCAUCAAAAUCACAAUAAAAUAAACUAUUGUUUGAGUUAAUAUAUCAAAGCACCUUCUCCACACCCUGGGCAGUCUUAUCUUUUUUUUUUUAUUUAAAGAAAAAGUACACGGAUUUAAAAAAAAAAGAUUGACAAGAACUGAUAUUAAAUUAAGAUAUUAAGAAUCUUUCAAACGAAAAUCUAGCAUUGUCUAGUAAUGUAAUAAAUUCUUUGUCUAGUCAAACCCCAGCCAUCAAACUUGAAUAAGAAGUCCCAAGUCCAUAAAAAAACAAAGGCACAAGCAGUAGCACAACCCUUGACCAAAAGACGGCAUAGGAGGCAGCUUCUUCCUUUCAAAAUUUGAUAAAUUUUUUAAGGUUAAUAAUUAAAAUAAACCUAUUUUCAUCAUUUAUCUAUGUUUGACAUUGAGGGUGAUGGGUAGAAAUUUUUUUUUUAAAAUAGAUUUUUUAACUAAUAUAUUUAGAAAUAUACUUUUCUAAUCCUAAUUCCUAAAGAGAUUUUUAACAUUAUUUUAAAAGGCUUGGGCCCAUGGUUCAUGGCUGACUGAGUGCUUUUAGGGACCCAUCAAGCACUAAACAGAAGUAGGUGGAAGCAGACAACUAAUAAUGAAUAAUAAUAGCAGUGUGCCAGAUAAAGGAAAUCGAUAGUACCCAGGGCCAGGGGCAGUGGGGGAAACCAGUGUGCCUUCCCGUACGAGAAAUCCGCCCUGGAGUAGAUCUCUGGGGGUAGUAAUACACCAGCGCUGCGUUUGGUAUCCUAUUCAACACUCUACAUCUAGUCAUGGGCGCCAGCACCACCCUGCCGAUCACCACCUCCCCGUAAAUCUCGAGAUAUACGUAUAUAUAUGAAAAAUGAACUCGCACACAAUGACAGAAAUGCCCUCCCGGAUCUCCUCUCGCCAUCGCUAAUCCUAAGAAAACCGUACCACUAAAUCUGUGGAGGCAUAGGAAGAGAAGAGAAUGAGAAGAACUGACCUGCGAGAGAGGCCGAACUUGCCCAUCUUGUAAGGGUUUGUUUGAAUAGGGUGAAGGUUUAGUAAAAUAAGAUAAAAAGAUAAAAGGAAAAUAUAAUAGGAAUAAGUUUUAUUUAUAUUUGAGAAGAGAAU